UACGUAGGGUGCAAGCGUUAAUCGGAAUUACUGGGCGUAAAGCGUGCGCAGGCGACUUUGCAAGACAGAUGUGAAAUCCCCAGGCUUAACCUGGGAACUGCGUGUGAUACUGGAUGGCUUGAAUUCGGGAGAGGGAUGCAGAAUUCCAGGUGUAGCGGUGAAAUGCGUAGAUAUCUGGAGGAAUACCGGUGGCGAAGGCGGCAUCCUGGACCGACAUUGACGCUGAGGAGCGAAAGCUAGGGGAGCAAACGGG
rnacentral:rRNA from 1 species